UACAGAGGGUGCGAGCGUUAUUCGGAAUUACUGGGCGUAAAGGGCUCGUAGGCGGCCAACUAAGUCGGACGUGAAAUCCCUCAGCUUAACUGGGGAACUGCGUCCGAUACUGGAUGGCUUGGAUUUGGGAGAGGGAUGCGGAAUUCCAGGUGUAGCGGUGAAAUGCGUAGAUAUCUGGAGGAACACCGGUGGCGAAGGCGGCAUCCUGGACCAAUAUUGACGCUGAGGAGCGAAAGCUAGGGGAGCAAACGGG
rnacentral:rRNA from 1 species